GAACUUCCUGGUGUCAAAGCCCUAAACAAACUGCCUGGAGAAAAGUGAACCUGCGGUGUCUGGAGGUGAACUGCAGUGUCUGGAGGUGAACCGCAGUGUCUGGAGGUGAACUGGGGUGUCAGGAGGUGAACUGCGGUGUCUGGAGGUGAACUGCGGUGUGAACCUGCGGUGUUUGGAGGUGAAACUGCGGAGCCGCAGUGUUUGGAAGUGCUCCGGUGGAAACAGUGGCCAUGUGGCCAGGGUCCUGG